UGGAAGUAAAAGUCGUAACAAGGUUUCUGUAGGUGAACCUGUGGAAGGAUCAUUACU
rnacentral:rRNA from 1 species